rnacentral:rRNA from 1 species
AACGCGAAGAACCUUACCAGGUCUUGACAUACCAUUGACCGUUCUAGAGAUAGGAUUUUCCCUUCGGGGACAAUGGAUACAGGUGGUGCAUGGUUGUCGUCAGCUCGUGUCGUGAGAUGUUGGGUUAAGUCCCGCAACGAGCGCAACCCCUGUCGUUAGUUGCCAGCAUUCAGUUGGGGACUCUAACGAGACUGCCAGUGACAAACUGGAGGAAGGUGGGGAUGACGUCAAAUCAUCAUGCCCCUUAUGACCUGGGCUACACACGUGCUACAAUGGUUGGUACAAAGAGAAGCGAAGCGGUGACGUGGAGCAAACCUCAUAAAGCCAAUCUCAGUUCGGAUUGUAGGCUGCAACUCGCCUACAUGAAGUUGGAAUCGCUAGUAAUCGCGAAUCAGAAUGUCGCGGUGAAUACGUUCCCGGGCCUUGUACACACCG